rnacentral:rRNA from 1 species
AACGAACGCUGGCGGCAGGCUUAACACAUGCAAGUCGAGCGCCCCGCAAGGGGAGCGGCAGACGGGUGAGUAACGCGUGGGAACAUACCCUUUGGUUCGGAAUAACUCAGGGAAACUUGAGCUAAUACCGGAUACGUCCGUAAGGAGAAAGAUUUAUCGCCAAAGGAUUGGCCCGCGUCCGAUUAGCUAGUUGGUGAGGUAACGGCUCACCAAGGCUACGAUCGGUAGCUGGUCUGAGAGGAUGAUCAGCCACAUUGGGACUGAGACACGGCCCAAACUCCUACGGGAGGCAGCAGUGGGGAAUAUUGGACAAUGGGCGCAAGCCUGAUCCAGCCAUGCCGCGUGAGUGAUGAAGGCCUUAGGGUUGUAAAGCUCUUUUGUCCGGGAAGAUAAUGACUGUACCGGAAGAAUAAGCCCCGGCUAACUUCGUGCCAGGAGCCGCGGUAAU